AACGAACGCUGGCGGCAGGCUUAACACAUGCAAGUCGAACGGGUGUAGCAAUACAUCAGUGGCAGACGGGUGAGUAACACGUGGGAACCUUCCUCGUUGUACGGAACAACUCAGGGAAACUUGAGCUAAUACCGUAUACGUCCGAGAGGAGAAAGAUUUAUCGCAAUGAGACGGGCCCGCGUCGGAUUAGCUAGUUGGUGGGGUAACGGCCUACCAAGGCGACGAUCCGUAGCUGAUCUGAGAGGAUGAUCAGCCACACUGGGACUGAGACACGGCCCAGACUCCUACGGGAGGCAGCAGUGGGGAAUCUUGGACAAUGGGCGCAAGCCUGAUCCAGCCAUGCCGCGUGAGUGAAGAAGGCCUUCGGGUUGUAAAGCUCUUUUGUCAGGGACGAUAAUGACGGUACCUGAAGAAUAAGCCCCGGCAAACUUCGUGCCAGCCGCCGCAGUAAUAC
rnacentral:rRNA from 1 species